rnacentral:lncRNA from 10 species
CACUGACUGGAGACCCAGGAAGAAGAAAAUUUAAAAGAAAAAUCUUUGUCACCUUGGGUAAGCAAAGAGUUCUUGGACAUAAGACCAACACCAAAGGACAAACUAAUAAGGUAGAUAUUAUGAAAAUUAAAAACUUUACUUCUUCAAAAGACCAUUAAAAGAUUGGAAGGCUAGCCAUAGUCUGGAAGAAAAUAAUUGCACAUCAUAUAGUUAAUAAGUUUGUAUCUAGAAUACAUAAAGAACUCUCAUAACUCAAUUUUAAAGAGUAAACAAUAGGCAAAAAGAUUUGAACAGAUACUUCCCCAGGGAAGAUACUCAGAUAGAAAAUAGGCACCUGAAAUUAACAUCACUAGUCAUUAGAGAAAUGCAAAUUAAAACCACAACCAAAUACCAAUACACAAUGAUUA